GUUUCCGUAGUGUAGUGGUAAUCAAUUCACCUAACAUGCGAAAGGUCCCCGGUUCGAAACCGGGUGGAAACA
rnacentral:tRNA from 1 species